GACAGAGGUGGCAAGCGUUGUUCGGAUUCAUUGGGUGUAAAGGGCAGGUAGGUGGCCUGAUAAGUCUGAUGUGAAAUCCCAGGGCUCAACCCUGGAACUGCAUUAGAAACUGUCGGGCUUGAGUAUCGGAGAGGUUAGGGGAAUUCCCGGUGUAAGGGUGAAAUCUGUAGAUAUCGGGAGGAACACCAGUGGCGAAGGCGCCUAACUGGCCGAUUACUGACACUGAGCUGCGAAAGCUAGGGGAGCAAACAGG
rnacentral:rRNA from 1 species